rnacentral:lncRNA from 10 species
GCUCUGAAGAGGAGAGCAGGAGCUGGGAUUGACGGCAACGGGGACUCGCUCCAGCUGGGGGAGGGGGCCUUCAGGAAGGGCUUCCUGGAGAAGGAGCGUUUGAGCUGAGCAGAAUGACAAGGAGGUACCAAGUGUGGAACAGUGUUCCAGGUAGGGGAAUAGCAUGGGCAAAUGUCCUGCGGAAGUAUGGAGCAUGGAAUGAUGAUGGCUGUGCUCCGGGGCCGGGGCACAUCCAGGACACAGACGUGAGCAACCUUGACCUUAGAGAGCAGCAAGGACAUGGUGAGGCAGCCCCAGAAUAUAGAUGUGAUGACUGGCGGUGUGGCAGUUGUCUUGUGCUCCUGAGAGAAUGGACAAGACAGUAAUAAAGACUCAUCUGUGACAUCUUCAAGCUGCUGAAACAAUACUGGAAUAUUGGAACUGUUGUCUUUCUGCUAGGUGAGAAAGCACAACCCCCUAAUUUGUUUAAGCGAUUGUUUGGUCAGGUUUUGUGUCCCUUGUGGCUGAACACAAUUCUAAAAGAUUCACUCUUUAGCAAAUGUGGUUGUAUGAAAUAUUAGUUAUAGUAGUGUGGAACCAUCACAAUUAGCCAGCUAUUUAAGAACUAAGCUUGACUGGGCAUGAUGGCUCAAGCCUGUAAACACAGCACUUUGGGAGGCCCAGGCAGGCAGAUCACUGGAGGUCAGGUGUUCGAGACCAGCCUGGCCAAUAAGGUGAAACCCUGUCUCUACUAAAAAUACAAAAAUUAGCCGGGCAUGCUGGUGCAUGCCUGUAAUCCCAGCUACUUGGGAGGCUGGGGCAGAAGAAUUGCUUGAACCUGGGAAGUGGAGUUUGCAGUGAGCUGAGAUCAUAUCACCGCACUCCAGCCUGGGCAACAGAGCUAGACGCCAUCUCCAAAAAAACAAAACAAAAAGAAAAAUUAGAACUAAGCUCAACAUCUGUAAGUUUUUUU